UACGGAGGGGGCUAGCGUUGUUCGGAAUUACUGGGCGUAAAGCGCACGUAGGCGGCUUUGCAAGUUAGAGGUGAAAGCCCGGGGCUCAACCCCGGAAUAGCCUUUAAAACUGCAUCGCUUGAACGUCGGAGAGGUGAGUGGAAUUCCGAGUGUAGAGGUGAAAUUCGUAGAUAUUCGGAAGAACACCAGUGGCGAAGGCGGCUCACUGGACGACUGUUGACGCUGAGGUGCGAAAGCGUGGGGAGCAAACAGG
rnacentral:rRNA from 1 species